ensembl:processed_transcript
GUUUGGUGGGCGGGGCCGUGGCGGGCUCAAAUGGCGGAGGCGCUGGGCGCCUAGGCCGUCGGGGGCCAUGAGCGCCGCCCGGCCCCAGUUUAGCAUCGAUGAUGCCUUCGAGCUGACCCUGGAGGACGCGGGGCCUGGGCCCGAGUCCAGCGGGGUCGCCCGCUUCGGGCCGCUGCACUUCGAUCGCCGGGCUCGGUUCGAGGUGGCUGAUGAAGACAAGCAGUCCCGGCUACGCUACCAGAACCUGGAAAAUGAUGAGGACGGAGCCCAGGCCUCUCCGGAGCCUGAUGGGGGAGUCAGCACCAGGGAUUCUGGGCACAUGUCUGUCCGCAGCUCGCAGUGGUCCUUCAGCACCAUCAGCAGCAGCACACAGCGCUCCUACAACGCCUGCUGCAGCUGGACCCAGCAUCCUCUGAUCCAGAAAAACCGCCGGGUAGUGCUGGCCUCCUUCCUGCUUCUGCUGUUGGGACUAGUGCUUAUCCUGGUCGGCGUGGGACUGGAGGUGGCCCCCUCUCCAGGUGUCUCCAGCGCCAUCUUCUUUGUGCCGGGCAUCCUGCUGCUAGUCCCGGGAGUCUACCAUGUGAUCUUCAUCUACUGUGCUGUCAAAGGCCGCCAGGGCUUCCAGUUCUUCUACCUGCCCUACUUUGAGAAGUGAGCUGUAACUGGCCAGUGGCUUACCAGUGAUCCAAGGCCUCAGGUCACCUCCACGUGUCCACAGGGUAUUCCUCCAACCUACACCUGGUUCUUUUCCUUUCACCUGGAAAGCAGAGGCCCUCUGGGACCCUCACAACCACCAGGCCCCUUUGGAUUUGCUCAGGAAGUUUGGGGCAUGCCAGCCUGGGAAUAUUGCCUCUUACCUGAUGUGUGCCUUAACUUAUUCCUGGGUCCUGGACUCCUGGGUUGGUGUAAUUUUGUGCUAAUAAAAGGGUAAUUAUUUCC